rnacentral:rRNA from 1 species
GACGAACGCUGGCGGCGUGCCUAAUACAUGCAAGUCGAACGCUUCUUUCCUCCCGAGUGCUUGCACUCAAUUGGAAAGAGGAGUGGCGGACGGGUGAGUAACACGUGGGUAACCUACCCAUCAGAGGGGGAUAACACUUGGAAACAGGUGCUAAUACCGCAUAACAGUUUAUGCCGCAUGGCAUAAGAGUGAAGGGCGCUUUCGGGUGUCGCUGAUGGAUGGACCCGCGGUGCAUUAGCUAGUUGGUGAGGUAACGGCUCACCAAGGCCACGAUGCAUAGCCGACCUGAGAGGGUGAUCGGCCACACUGGGACUGAGACACGGCCCAGACUCCUACGGGAGGCAGCAGUAGGGAAUCUUCGGCAAUGGACGAAAGUCUGACCGAGCAACGCCGCGUGAGUGAAGAAGGUUUUCGGAUCGUAAAACUCUGUUGUUAGAGAAGAACAAGGACGUUAGUAACUGAACGUCCCCUGACGGUAUCUAACCAGAAAGCCACGGCUAACUACGCG